UCGGAGGUAACAGAAGAUUGUGUAGUGCAGCACAAUCUUCUGUUACCUCCGAUGCACUACACAAUCUUCUGUUACCCCCGA
rnacentral:pre_miRNA from 1 species